UCCGUAGGGUGCGAGCGUUGUCCGGAAUUAUUGGGCGUAAAGGGCUCGUAGGCGGUUUGUCGCGUCGGGAGUGAAAUCCACUGGCUUAACUGGUGGCUUGCUUUCGAUACGGGCAGACUGGAGGUAUGCAGGGGAGAACGGAAUUCCUGGUGUAGCGGUGAAAUGCGCAGAUAUCAGGAGGAACACCGGUGGCGAAGGCGGUUCUCUGGGCAUGUCCUGACGCUGAGGAGCGAAAGUGUGGGGAGCGAACAGG
rnacentral:rRNA from 1 species